UGUUCCUAAUCUCUAAAACCUAUUAAAAUUAGUGAAAAACAAGAAUUUUUAUUUUUUUUCUUUACCAAACACGUCUUAUUGCAUUAACAGUUCACAAAAUAUUAACACGUUUCAAUUGCUCUGACCAGUAAAUUUUAUUGUAUGCACAUAGUGCUAUUCACAUUUGCUUUGACCAGUAAAAAUUGUUUGUACGCGCUAAAGGGGAAUUCACUUAAAUCUUAAAGCUAGUGUUCGCAAAUUAUCGAUGGUUUCAGACUUUUUUCUUUCAUAAAUACUUUUUUGUGAUAUGAACAUACUUCGCAAAAAUUAAAUUUGACAAAAAAAUUUAAGUACAUAAAAUUUCAAAUCGUGCUAAAUGGAAUAAAAUCGUAUUUUAUCGGCAAAUGUCUGAUUUGUGUUUGUCUUUCUAUAAGCACAUAUAAGCACAUAAAACGCGAAAUAAAUAUCCAAUUCCAUUCCUUUGUACAUCUUAAUAUUUCUAUCAGCAGAAGAGUUGUUAUAAAGAUGGAAGAGAUCGGAACAUUCCUUCUGGUAACUCCCCAAACAUAAGGAUCAAGAUUUUAAAAAAUAAAACGCUAAAAGAAAUCGAAAUAAGCAUCCAGCUCUCUUUAAAUUUUACACAUGCGAACAUUUUUGCUAAAUUUUACGCAUACGAACAUUUGUCUUUCUAUUAAUUUCUUGGCAAGUCUCUCUUCUGCGAUUUUUACUAUUAAAAAGUACUGGAACAAGGCUUGUGUUGGUGAAACAUGGGACUCUCAUUCUCUAACGAAUGACGUAAGCAAUAUUUAAGGUGAUGUUUUCACAAAGUCUUAUUAAAUUAAAAAAAAAAAAAUUAUUAAUAAGUGGCCCACCAAAAAUUUAAACGAAGUUAGGAUAAUGAAAUUUAUUAAAAUUGGUAUAGACAACAUUUUAUGCGCAGUACCUUUUCAAUAUGGUAAGGGAGUUCCUGAGUUUACUUUGUAUAACUUUCAAAUAAGAAAAUGUAGAUUCGCAU